rnacentral:rRNA from 1 species
ACGUAGGCAGCAAGCGUUGUUCGGAAUUACUGGGCGUAAAAAGUGCGUAGGCGGUUGGCUAAGUUUGGGGGGAAAUCUCCCGGCUCAACUGGGCGGGGGCGCCGAAAACUGGCUGGCUAGAGUGCGGGAGAGGAUAGUGGAAUUCCUGGUGUAGCGGUGAAAUGCGUAGAUAUCAGGAGGAACACCUGAGGCGUAGACGGCUAUCUGGACCGUAACUGACGCUGAGGCACGAAAGCGUGGGGAGCAAACAG